rnacentral:rRNA from 1 species
CCGUAAUCGGAAUGAGUACACUUUAAAUCCUUUAACAAGGAUCCAUUGGAGGGCAAGUCUGGUGCCAGCAGCCGCGGUAAUUCCAGCUCCAAUAGCGUAUAUUAAAGUUGUUGCGGUUAAAAAGCUCGUAGUUGGUUCUGCGUGCCGCGCUGUCGGUUCGCCGCCUGUCGGUGUUACUGGCAUGUCGCGGCAUGUCCUGUCGGUGGUGAAUGGGAUCUCCGGUGCUGCCUAGGCUUCACAGCUGAAGUACGUGCCGUUUUGAUGCCAUUUGCCGAUUUCUCCUACUCCGGUGCUCUUAAACGAGUGUCGAGGUAGGCCGACACGUUCACUUUGAACAAAUUAGAGUGCUUAAAGCAGGCUGAAAUAUCUGCCUGAAUAGUGGUGCAUGGAAUAAUAAAAUAGGACCUCGGUUCUAUUUUAUUGGUUUUAGGAAUAUGAGGUAAUGAUCAAUGUGGACUGGCGGGGGCAUUCGUAUUGCGACGUUAGAGGUGAAAUUCUUGGAUCGUCGCAAGACGCACUAGAGCGAAAGCAUUUGCCAAGUAUGUCUUAAUUGAUCAAGAACGAAAGUUAGAGGUUCGAAGGCGAUCAGAUACCGCCCUAGUUCUAACCAUAAACGAUGCCAGCCAGCGAUCCGCCGAUGUUCCAAUAAUGACUCGGCGGGGAGCUUCUACCCGGGAAACCAAAGCUUUUGGGUUCCGGGGGAAGUAUGGUUGCAAAGCUGAAACUUAAAGGAAUUGACGGAAGG